UGGGGAGUAUUGCGCAAUGGGCGAAAGCCUGACGCAGCAACGCCGCGUGGAGGACGAAGGCCUUCGGGUUGUAAACUCCUGUCAGGUGGGGCGAACGGUAGUCGGUUAAUACCCGGCUGCCCUGACGGUACCACCAGAGGAAGCCCCGGCUAACUCCGUGCCAGCAGCCGCGGUAAUACGGAGGGGGCUAGCGUUAUUCGGAAUUAUUGGGCGUAAAGGGCGUGUAGGCGGCUUGGUAAGUCAAAGGUGAAAUCCCUCGGCUCAACCGAGGAACUGCCUUUGAAACUGCCUGGCUAGAGGCCGGGAGAGGGUAGCGGAAUUCCCAGUGUAGCGGUGAAAUGCGUAGAUACUGGGAGGAACACCAGUGGCGAAGGCGGCUACCUGGACCGGUUCUGACGCUGAGGCGCGAAAGCGUGGGGAGCAAACAGGAUUAGAUACCCCCGUAGUCC
rnacentral:rRNA from 1 species